AGCAAUAUCACAUUGAAAUACCAGUUCCCCUACAAUCACAGAAGUUAAGCAGCAUCAAGCCUGGGCAUUACGUAGAUGGUUGACUGCUUGGGAAUACCAGGUGCUGUAAG